GGCAGGGCCCAGGGCGAGGAGGUUGAGGACAGAGGCGGCGGCGAACAGGCACCUGGCUGAACACUGGCACGCUCACCAUGCUACGGUCUUCCUGCAUGGUGAAGGGGUUCACGCAACCCAGACAUAGGCACCGCGCCUCGGUUAAACAGGAGUGAGAGAUAAGAGAAUUAGACCUGGGAACAUACAGCCUCAGACACCUUGCUUUGCCUGGGAGCUUCUUGGAAAUGAAUUGGAAACCUCCUGAAUGAGCCUACAGUUUUACAAUCUCGCUGACUGACACACGGGCACAGCCAAGUAGGAACAAGCUGUGUAGCCUGAAGAAUCCUUACUGACUCUGUCGUCGUAUUCCAGGGCUCCACCCCUUAACACAGUAGCCGCCAGCUACGUACGCCAACUUACAUUUCAGUCUAUAGUCCUUUAGUGUCAUUAGCCACGUGGUUCAGUCAUCACAUGGCUACCACAGUGGACUUUAUUAAAGGACGUUCUGG
rnacentral:lncRNA from 1 species